UCAUCCAUAAGAACCGGAGUACCGAACAUAUAUAUCAGCUAGACCGACGCCUCGAAUCCUCGACUGAGUGAACAGCUAACGCUAUUUUUGUUUAGGCCGUGUUUAGCGACCUAGGUGAGAAGAAGAUGUGGUCUAGGUCUAUUAGACCGCCGCCGCCACUGCUGCUACUGCUGCUGGUGAUCCUGGAACUGAUGAUCGUGCUGGCCGACGACCUCGAUCCGGAUACUUUCUGCGGCUAUACUAAUAAAAAGGAAUGCAAGUCGUGGAAGCUCGUCUCCACCUAUAGCACCAUAUCCAUCUUCAUCUCCACUAUCAUCCUUAUGCAAUUUGUGUAGAUUUGUCACUGCAAUUACUUCCCAGUGUUAAUUGUUGUUUCUAGUAGUUGAUGCCUUGUGUUUUAUUUGGUGUAAGAUAUAUAAAUUCAUAUGUCUAUUCUUAUCCAUAUGCCCCUACUUAUGCUUGUAGUUCGUUACGUUGUUGAGGACAUGGGAGAAACCUAAUUUGA